rnacentral:rRNA from 1 species
UGGGGAAUUUUGGACAAUGGGCGAAAGCCUGAUCCAGCAAUGCCGCGUGUGUGAAGAAGGCCUUCGGGUUGUAAAGCACUUUUGUCCGGAAAGAAAUCCUUGGCUCUAAUACAGUCGGGGGAUGACGGUACCGGAAGAAUAAGCACCGGCUAACUACGUGCCAGCAGCCGCGGUAAUACGUAGGGUGCAAGCGUUAAUCGGAAUUACUGGGCGUAAAGCGUGCGCAGGCGGUUUGCUAAGACCAAUGUGAAAUCCCCGGGCUCAACCUGGGAACUGCAUUGGUGACUGGCAGGCUAGAGUAUGGCAGAGGGGGGUAGAAUUCCACGUGUAGCAGUGAAAUGCGUAGAGAUGUGGAGGAAUACCGAUGGCGAAGGCAGCCCCCUGGGCCAAUACUGACGCUCAUGCACGAAAGCGUGGGGAGCAAACAGGAUUAGAUACCCUGGUAGUCCACGCCCUAAACGAUGUCGACUAGUUGUUGGGGAUUCAUUCCUUAGUAACGUAGCUAACGCGUGAAGUUGACCGCCUGGGGAGUACGGUCGCAAGAUUAAAACUUAAAGGAAUUGACGGGGUCAUAGCUGUUUCCU